ACCACACUCAGAACAGACAAAUGGUUUUUGUCCUGUAUGAAUUAUCAUUUGUCUGUUCAGGUGGCCCUUUCGUCCAACCUUUGACCACACUCAGAACAGACAAAUGCUUUUUCAUACAGUGCAAA